CAUUGAAACACUGGUUCUUGUAUGAUCACCAAAGUUAAACAAUGUUGAGCCUGGUCAGUACCUAGAUGGGUGACCACUUGGGAAUACCAGGUGAUGUAAG
rnacentral:rRNA from 1 species